GGCUCGUUGGUCUAGGGGUAUGAUUCUCGCUUUGGGUGCGAGAGGUCCCGGGUUCAAAUCCCCCGGACGAGCCC